UGACAGUACUCCUACGGGGAGGCAGCAGUGGGGGAAUAUUGCACAAUGGGCGCAAGCCUGAUGCAGCCAUGCCGCGUGUGUGAAGAAGGACCUUCGGGGUUGUAAAGCACUUUCAGUCGUGAGGAAGGUAGUGUAGUUAAUAGCUGCAUUAUUUGACGUUAGCGACAGAAGAAGCACCGGCUAACUCCGUGCCAGCAGCCGCGGUAAUACGGAGGGUGCGAGCGUUAAUCGGAAUUACUGGGCGUAAAGCGCAUGCAGGUGGUUUGUUAAGUCAGAUGUGAAAGCCCGGGGCUCAACCUCGGAAUAGCAUUUGUAAACUGGCAGACUAGAGUACUGUAGAGGGGGGUAGGAAUUUCAGGUGUAGCGGUGAAAUGCGUAGAGAUCUGAAGGAAUACCGGUGGCGAAGGCGGCCCCCUGGACAGAUACUGACACUCAGAUGCGAAAGCGUGGGGAGCAAACAGGAUUAGAUACCCUGGUAG
rnacentral:rRNA from 1 species